UCCGCGAGCAGGCACGACCAGCUCCUAUCGAACUCCCCCAGGUCAGGAAUGAAGCAAGGGUAGAUAGUUGAGCGGUGCGAUGUCGGCUCGCCUUUUU
rnacentral:SRP_RNA from 1 species